GACGAACGCUGGCGGCGUGCUUAACACAUGCAAGUCGAACGAAGUGGCGAACGGGUGAGUAAUACGUGAGUAACCUGCCCUCCUUUUUGGGAUAAGCCUUGGAAACGGGGUCUAAUACCGAAUAAAGGGGGUUGGGCUCGCGGCCUAUCAGCUUGUUGGUGGGGUUAUGGCCUACCAAGGCGGUGACGGGCAGCCGGCCUGAGAGGGUGACCGGCGACAUUGGGACUGGGAUAAGGCCCAGAGUCCGACGGUAGGCAGCAGUGGGGGAUAUUGCACAAAGGGCGAAAGCCUGAUGCCGCGACGCUGCGUGGGGGAUGCAGGCUGUCGGGUUGUAAACCUCGUUCGCUAUCGAAGGGGUAGGUGGAGAAGAAGCGCCGGCUAACUACGUGCCAGCAGCCGCGGUAAUAC
rnacentral:rRNA from 1 species